GCGGUGCGGGCGGCGCCCCAGCGCGGGGGGAGCGAGUGCGGGCGGGAACGGCGCCCCCGGAGCGCCUCGGCCUUCAGGCUCCCGUGCAGCCCAAGCCGGAGCCCCGAGAUAGAGGUCGAGGACGUUCUGUCGUACCUUGAGAGAGGGUGCGGCCGACAGAGGGGGUCCUGUCCAGCUCAUCUUCCCAGAGUGUGGAUCUGACCACGUCAUUCUCCCGCUCAAACACUCCCAAGCUCCCUCUUCUUCUCAGCGCACUCCGAGCUCCCCGGCUGCGGUGACCCCAGGGCUGUGUCUUCUCUCCACAUGGCUUUGAGUCUGCGAUUCAGCUUCAUCAGAAAGCCUCUCUGUGCUCCCACCCGAGUGUGUUUAGGUCCUGCCAUUCCGUGUAGGGCAGGGAAAGUCUGAGCCCUUCCUCCAAAGUCACUUGAAGGUCCCAUUCAAAUAGGCUCUCCUCUUGAACUUCCCCCAAGCUGACAUUUGGGGAAAGAAAAGAACGUUG